UUACACCGGUUCUCAUACGAUCACCGAAGUUAAGCAACGUCAAGCCUGGUCAGUACUUCGAUAGGUGACGGCUUGGAAAUAUAAGUUGCUGUAAG